GCCCACAGCUGUGUCCAAUGAGGAAAAGUGCUAUGAAAGAGUGGGGUAGCUGCGUAGAGAGGGAGGUGGAAUUUGUUGGUUGUGCAGUGAGGAGUUGUGUAUGGGAAAUCACCAAGAAGCCUGCUGUGAUUGUUGAGUGAAUUCUGUCCUGCUGUGAUUCCAGCAACUUUCAUCACCUCUCUGAGGAGCAGUGAGUUCUGCAUUGCCUCUUCUGAACUUCUGUGAAACCUCUGUGCAUCUUUUUUAUCAUCAGCUCUGAGUCAAGCACAUCCACUUCAGGAUGAUCAUCUACUCCCAUCUGAGAGGCCCCACACCCCUUCUCAGCAGAAAACAUGCAGAGUACAUGCUGCAACUGGCAAAUGCAUACAUCAGGACCGGUGCCUUUAAUCAGCCUCCCAUUGGCCACCUCAGCAAUGGGUUAACAUAACAGCACCGCAGGCAGCUGCACUGUGAGUUUGAGAAGCCAGGUGGUACCAGGUGUCAGAAUGGUUGUGAGGAGAACUCUUCAGUGGAAUUACAGCCUCUUGUUCAGCCCAGAAUUUAAGAAGAGGUGGAAAGAUGGAGAUAAUAACAACAAAAAAUUAAGGAGACAGAUCUGACCUUAUAAAAGUCUGUUUCCCCUUUGUAAUACGAAUAUAAUUUGUUUUAAAGGGGUUUGGCAGCCAUUCCUAUAGAUUUACUGAGUGUGGGAGGAAAAGCCUACUGUUUAAGGAAAUGGUGGAUGAUGAAUGUCUGCUUCCAGGUAAAAUCUUCAGUCGUCAGAUGACAGCAGAGAGGACCAGAAUGAUGUGCAGAAUCUGUCACUUGGUGAUAUGCUUCUAUUAAAUAAACAGAAUAGUUCACCUCUCUUUUGAAACAUAGCAUCUAAUAAAAUAACUAAAAAGCAUCUAAAUAUUCUAAGCUUGAUUGCUCAUUAACAUUCAUAAAAUAUUGAGAUAACCAAAGAAUAAAACACUGAAUUAAAGUAGAGCCAACCAUUAGAAUAAAGCAAAGUGUGAUGAAAAAGAGAUGUGGCGUGAAAACAUUUACAGUUGACCAAAGUACGGCUACCACCUGUCCUUCAAAUAAAGGUGAAUACAUCUUCUCAGUGAUGUUACAUUAGACUAAUGCACCAAGGACUACAAGACUAAAUGAUGACAUCUGAGUCAUUUGGCAUAUAUAAAAUAGACAUUGAAAUAAGGCACUGUCUUGGCGAAAAUAUAUCUUUGAAAACAAAUAAUUGUGGCUCAACAUUUAUUCUUGAUUAGUUCCUUGUGCCCACCUCUGUUCUGUAGCU